GAUGAACGCUAGCUACAGGCUUAACACAUGCAAGUCGAGGGGAAACGGCAUUGAGUGCUUGCACUCUUUGGACGUCGACCGGCGCACGGGUGAGUAACGCGUAUCCAACCUUCCCAUUACUGUGGGAUAACCUGCCGAAAGGCAGACUAAUACCGCAUAGUCUUCGAUGACGGCAUCAGAUUUGAAGUAAAGAUUUAUCGGUAAUGGAUGGGGAUGCGUCUGAUUAGCUUGUUGGCGGGGUAACGGCCCACCAAGGCUACGAUCAGUAGGGGUUCUGAGAGGAAGGUCCCCCACAUUGGAACUGAGACACGGUCCAAACUCCUACGGGAGGCAGCAGUGAGGAAUAUUGGUCAAUGGACGGAAGUCUGAACCAGCCAAGUAGCGUGCAGGAUGACGGCCCUAUGGGUUGUAAACUGCUUUUGUAUGGGGAUAAAGUUAGGGACGUGUCCCUAUUUGCAGGUACCAUACGAAUAAGGACCGGCUAAUUCCGUGCCAGCAGCCGCGGUAAUACGGAAGGUCCAGGCGUUAUCCGGAUUUAUUGAGUUUAAAGGGAGCGUAGGCUGGAGAUUAAGUGUGUUGUGAAAUGUAGACGCUCAACGUCUGACUUGCAGCGCAUACUGGUUUCCUUGAGUACGCACAACGUUGGCGGAAUUCGUCGUGUAGCGGUGAAAUGCUUAGAUAUGACGAAGAACUCCGAUUGCGAAGGCAGCUGACGGGAGCGCAACUGACGCUUAAGCUCGAAGGUGCGGGUAUCAAACAGG
rnacentral:rRNA from 1 species